CCUACGGGAGGCAGCAGUGAGGAAUCUUGGUCCAUGGGCGCGAGCCUGAACCAGCCAAGUCGCGUGAGGGAAUACGGUCCUAUGGAUUGUAAACCUCUUUUGUCGGGGAGCCAAAGACGCCACGCGUGGCGUUCCGAGAGUACCCGAAGAAAAAGCAUCGGCUAACUCCGUCCCAGCAGCCGCGGUAAUACGGAGGAUGCGAGCGUUAUCCGGUUGUAUUGGGUUUAAAGGGUGCGCAGGGGGAAGAUCCAGUCAGCGGUAAAAUUGAGAGGUUCAACCUCUUAGAGCCGUUGAAACUGGUUUUGUUGAGUGAGUGAGAAGUAUGCGGAAUGCGUGGUGUAGCGGUGAAAUGCAUAGAUAUCACGCAGAACUCCGAUUGCGAAGGCAGCAUACCGGCGCUCAACUGACGCUCAUGCACGAAAGUGUGGGUAUCGAACAGGAUUAGAUACCCCAGUAGUC
rnacentral:rRNA from 1 species